rnacentral:tRNA from 1 species
GCAGGGGUCGCCGAGCCUGGUCAAAGGCGUAGGCUUCAGGAGCCUAUCCUGUAGAGGUUCGUGGGUUCGAAUCCCACCCCCUGCACCA